rnacentral:rRNA from 1 species
UGCAGUCGAGCGGAUGAGAGGAGCUUGCUCCUCGAUUCAGCGGCGGACGGGUGAGUAAUGCCUAGGAAUCUGCCUAGUAGUGGGGGACAACGUUUCGAAAGGAACGCUAAUACCGCAUACGUCCUACGGGAGAAAGUGGGGGAUCUUCGGACCUCACGCUAUUAGAUGAGCCUAGGUCGGAUUAGCUAGUUGGUAGGGUAAAGGCCUACCAAGGCGACGAUCCGUAACUGGUCUGAGAGGAUGAUCAGUCACACUGGAACUGAGACACGGUCCAGACUCCUACGGGAGGCAGCAGUGGGGAAUAUUGGACAAUGGGCGAAAGCCUGAUCCAGCCAUGCCGCGUGUGUGAAGAAGGCCCUCGGGUCGUAAAGCACUUUAAGUUGGGAGGAAGGGCUUACAGCGAAUACCUGUGAGUUUUGACGUUACCGACAGAAUAAGCACC